rnacentral:rRNA from 1 species
CGGGCUACACACGUGCUACAAUGGCCGGUACAGACGGACGCAAAGCCGCGAGGUGGAGCAAAUCCUAAAAAACCGGUCUCAGUUCGGAUUGCAGGCUGCAAUUCGCCUGCAUGAAGUCGGAAUCGCUAGUAAUCGCAGGUCAGCAUACUGCGGUGAAUACGUUCCCGGGCCUU